rnacentral:misc_RNA from 1 species
UUUCCCUUUCAUCUUCCUUAUUUAUACCCAUUCAUCCCCUUAAUACCCCUACACAUACUUUUUGUUUUUCUAUAUAAAUCAAACAUUUUAUUAAAUUACUUACAUAUUAAUAUAUAUAUAUUUUCAAAUGAACGAAGAUGAUGAUGUGCCAAAUUGAUCCAUUUGAUGAUAAAUCAAUUUCAACAAAUAUGAUGAUGUUGAAGAAUUUGAGCUCAUCUAGGGUUAUUUUCGUCAUGGUGAUUUUAACGAUAACACUUUUGGUGUUGCCGUUAAUUCUGCCGCCGUUACCGCCACCGCCGCUAAUGCUACUGUGCGUUCCAGUUUUGCUUUUAAUUUUACUUGUUUAUUUAGCUUUUACUCCUUCUCAAUUGCCUAAUUAUAAUGUGCCUAUUACUUCUUUGUAGAACUGUGAAUGCUAAUAGAACGGAUUAAUAUAAUUUUAAUUUUUUUGAGAUUUUUUUGUUUUUGUUUUUG